rnacentral:rRNA from 3 species
CGUAGGGAAACCGAGUCUUAACCGGGCGUUAAGUUGCAGGGUAUAGACCCGAAACCCGGUGAUCUAGCCAUGGGCAGGUUGAAGGUUGGGUAACACUAACUGGAGGACCGAACCGACUAAUGUUGAAAAAUUAGCGGAUGACCUGUGGCUGGGGGUGAAAGGCCAAUCAAACCGGGAGAUAGCUGGUUCUCCCCGAAAGCUAUUUAGGUAGCGCCUCGUGAAUUCAUCUCCGGGGGUAGAGCACUGUUUCGGCUAGGGGGCCAUCCCGGCUUACCAACCCGAUGCAAACUGCGAAUACCGGAGAAUGUUAUCACGGGAGACACACGGCGGGUGCUAACGUCCGUCGUGAAGAGGGAAACAACCCAGACCGCCAGCUAAGGUCCCAAAGUCAUGGUUAAGUGGGAAACGAUGUGGGAAGGCCCAGACAGCCAGGAUGUUGGCUUAGAAGCAGCCAUCAUUUAAAGAAAGCGUAAUAGCUCACUGGUCGAGUCGGCCUGCGCGGAAGAUGUAACGGGGCUAAACCAU